GAUGAACGCUGGCGGCGUGCCUAAUACAUGCAAGUCGAGCGAACAGACGAGGAGCUUGCUCCUCUGACGUUAGCGGCGGACGGGUGAGUAACACGUGGAUAACCUACCUAUAAGACUGGGAUAACUUCGGGAAACCGGAGCUAAUACCGGAUAAUAUAUUGAACCGCAUGGUUCAAUAGUGAAAGACGGUUUUGCUGUCACUUAUAGGUGGAUCCGCGCCGCAUUAGCUAGUUGGUAAGGUAACGGCUUACCAAGGCAACGAUGCGUAGCCGACCUGAGAGGGUGAUCGGCCACACUGGAACUGAGACACGGUCCAGACUCCUACGGGAGGCAGCAGUAGGGAAGCUUCCGCAAUGGGCGAAAGCCUGACGGAGCAACGCCGCGUGAGUGAUGAAGGUCUUCGGAUCGUAAAACUCUGUUAUUAGGGAAGAACAAAUGUGUAAGUAACUAUGCACGUCUUGACGGUACCUAAUCAGAAAGCCACGGCUAACUACGUG
rnacentral:rRNA from 1 species